rnacentral:rRNA from 1 species
ACUCCUACGGGAGGCAGCAGUAGGGAAUCUUCCACAAUGGGCGCAAGCCUGAUGGAGCAACACCGCGUGAGUGAAGAAGGGUUUCGGCUCGUAAAGCUCUGUUGUUAAAGAAGAACACGUAUGAGAGUAACUGUUCAUACGUUGACGGUAUUUAACCAGAAAGUCACGGCUAACUACGUGCCAGCAGCCGCGGUAAUACGUAGGUGGCAAGCGUUAUCCGGAUUUAUUGGGCGUAAAGAGAGUGCAGGCGGUUUUCUAAGUCUGAUGUGAAAGCCUUCGGCUUAACCGGAGAAGUGCAUCGGAAACUGGAUAACUUGAGUGCAGAAGAGGGUAGUGGAACUCCAUGUGUAGCGGUGGAAUGCGUAGAUAUAUGGAAGAACACCAGUGGCGAAGGCGGCUACCUGGUCUGCAACUGACGCUGAGACUCGAAAGUAUGGGUAGCGAACAGGAUUAGAUACCCUGGUAGGAUAGCG